rnacentral:rRNA from 1 species
AGGGUUUGAUCCUGGCUCAGAAUGAACGUUGGCGGCGUGGAUUAGGCAUGCAAGUCGUGCGAGAAAUUCCAGCUUGCUGGAAUGGACAGCGGCGAAAGGGAGAGUAAUACGUAGAAAUCUGCCCUCAGGACUGGGAUAGCGUUGGGAAACUGGCGGUAAUACCAGAUGAUGUCUUCGGACCAAAGGUGUGAUUCCGCCUGAGGAUGAGUCUACGACCUAUUAGCUAGUUGGCGGGGUAAUGGCCCACCAAGGCAACGAUGGGUAGCGGGUGUGAGAGCAUGGCCCGCCUCACUGGGACUGAGACACUGCCCAGACAUCUACGGAUGGCUGCAGUCGAGAAUCUUUGUCAAUGGACGAAAGUCUGAACAAGCGACGCCGCGUGCGGGAUGAAGGCCUUCGGGUUGUAAACCGCUGUCGUAAGGGAGCAAAUCUAUUGGGGUUCUCCCCUUUAGUUGAGCGAUCUUAGGAGGAAGGACGGGCUAAGUUCGUGCCAGCAGCCGCGGUAAGACGAACCGUCCGAACGUUAUUCGGUAUCACUGGGCUUAAAGAGUUCGUAGGCGGCCAAGUAGGUCAGGUGUGAAAUCCCACAGCUCAACUGUGGAACUGCGCUUGAAACCGUUUGGCUUGAGGGAGAUAGAGGUGAGCGGAACAGAUGGUGGAGCGGUGAAAUGCGUUGAUAUCAUCUGGAACACCGGUGGCGAAAGCGGCUCACUGGAUCUCUUCUGACGCUGAGGAACGAAAGCUAGGGUAGCGAACGGGAUUAGAUACCCCGGUAGUCCACGCCGUAAACGAUGGACACUAGCUGUCGGGCCUUCAUUGGUUCGGUGGCCCAGCGAAAGUGAUAAGUGUCCCACCUGGGGAGUACGUCGGCAACGAUGAAACUCAAAGGAAUUGACGGGGGCCCGCACAAGCGGUGGAGCAUGUGGUUUAAUUCGAUGAUACGCGAGGAACCUUACCAGGGCUUAAAUGUAGUGUGACAGGGGUAGAGAUACCUUUUUCUUCGGACACAUUACAAGGUGCUGCAUGGUUGUCGUCAGCUCGUGCCGUGAGGUGUCAGGUUAAGUCCUAUAACGAGCGCAACCCCUACCGUUAGUUGCCAGCAUGUAAAGAUGGGGACUCUAACGGGACUGCCGGUGCAAACCGUGAGGAAGGUGGGGAUGACGUCAAAUCAUCACGGCCCUUACGUCCUGGGCUACACACGUGCUACAAUGGCCGGUACAAUGAGCAGCCACGUCGCAAGGCGGAGCGAAUCUAAAAAACCGGUCACAGUUCGGAUCGGGGUCUGCAACCCGACCCCGUGAAGCUGGAAUCGCUAGUAAUCGGAUAUCAGCCAUGAUCCGGUGAAUACGUUCCCGGGCCUUGUACACACCGCCCGUCAAGCCAUGGAAGCCGGGAGUGCCUGAAGUCCGUCACCGCAAGGAGCGGCCUAGGGCAAGAUCGGUAACUAGGGCUAAGUCGUAACAAGGUA